UCUGAGUGUCAGUGGCUAAUCUCUAACGUUCGGUAGUGGGAUUGAUCCUUUGACUUGAGGUCGUCAUAGUACCCUAUAUGAGGACAGUCAUACUUUGGCGGUGUUGGAUGUUGCUCUGAAAGGGGCCGCUAAUACGACAUCGUUCGGGUACGUCAAGAAUCGUAUGAAGGUUGUGAUUGAUCAAUAAAGGAUUCGUCACUCUUAGAUAGUAGGAGAUAAUCUGCGUUUCAUUCAAUUAAGUCGAUGAUGAAAUCCUUGGCCAAGGUGUACUCAUAAGUCGAAAAGGAGUUUUCGAUUUAUAUUGAC
rnacentral:lncRNA from 1 species